UACGGAGGGGGCUAGCGUUGUUCGGAAUUACUGGGCGUAAAGCGCACGUAGGCGGCUUUGUAAGUUAGAGGUGAAAGCCCAGAGCUCAACUCUGGAACUGCCUUUAAGACUGCAUCGCUUGAAUCAUGGAGAGGUCAGUGGAAUUCCGAGUGUAGAGGUGAAAUUCGUAGAUAUUCGGAAGAACACCAGCGGCGAAGGCGACUGACUGGACAUGUAUUGACGCUGAGGUGCGAAAGCGUGGGAGCAAACAGG
rnacentral:rRNA from 1 species